rnacentral:rRNA from 1 species
CUUAGAGUUUGAUCCUGGCUCAGGAUGAACGCUAGCUACAGGCUUAACACAUGCAAGUCGAGGGGCAGCAUGGUCUUAGCUUGCUAAGGCCGAUGGCGACCGGCGCACGGGUGAGUAACACGUAUCCAACCUGCCGUCUACUCUUGGACAGCCUUCUGAAAGGAAGAUUAAUACAAGAUGGCAUCAUGAGUUCACAUGUUCACAUGAUUAAAGGUAUUCCGGUAGACGAUGGGGAUGCGUUCCAUUAGAUAGUAGGCGGGGUAACGGCCCACCUAGUCUUCGAUGGAUAGGGGUUCUGAGAGGAAGGUCCCCCACAUUGGAACUGAGACACGGUCCAAACUCCUACGGGAGGCAGCAGUGAGGAAUAUUGGUCAAUGGGCGCAGGCCUGAACCAGCCAAGUAGCGUGAAGGAUGACCGCCCUAUGGGUUGUAAACUUCUUUUAUAUGGGAAUAAAGUAUUCCACGUGUGGAAUUUUGUAUGUACCAUAUGAAUAAGGAUCGGCUAACUCCGUGCCAGCAGCCGCGGUAAUACGGAGGAUCCGAGCGUUAUCCGGAUUUAUUGGGUUUAAAGGGAGCGUAGGUGGAUUGUUAAGUCAGUUGUGAAAGUUUGCGGCUCAACCGUAAAAUUGCAGUUGAUACUGGAUAUCUUGAGUGCAGUUGAGGCAGGCGGAAUUCGUGGUGUAGCGGUGAAAUGCUUAGAUAUCACGAAGAACUCCGAUUGCGAAGGCAGCCUGCUAAGCUGCAACUGACAUUGAGGCUCGAAAGUGUGGGUAUCAAACAGGAUUAGAUACCCUGGUAGUCCACACGGUAAACGAUGAAUACUCGCUGUUUGCGAUAUACGGCAAGCGGCCAAGCGAAAGCGUUAAGUAUUCCACCUGGGGAGUACGCCGGCAACGGUGAAACUCAAAGGAAUUGACGG